CCUGAAGACUAACCUCAAGAAAGAACUGAAAUGUGAUUUUUAAGCACAUUGUCAAUAUUAAUGUUAUUAUGCUUAUUUAAUAAUAGUAUUUUCUUCUCUCCUUAUAGAUGUAUGUGCCUGAAAACUGAUAUUGAACUAUGACAAUAAGCUUAGCCUUCAGGGGAGACACCUGAUAUGUUCUUUGGCUGGUGUGAAAGGGGAAACAGCACCCUGCUUUACCAGGUUAACAGUACUCUUUCUUCCACUGUCACCUAAUCCUCAGCGCUAGAAUGAGAUGGACACAAAAGCUGUAUUGAGGAUGUAAGAGAAGUUGCUCUGCACUUCCACGGCCUUUCAGUUGGAAGAUGAAAUAUCAUGUUUAUGUGCUAUGGGAGUGAUCCUCUUGUAAAGACACUAUUGUUAAUGAAGGCGGGAGAAGAAAGAAUUUCAUCUGUAGUGAUGAACAGCCUCCUUUUAGAGCCAGCUUGGGACUGGAAGAAUGUCAUAUGACCAGCGUACAGUAUCUACUGUUUCUACAGUCAUCAGAGAUAACACAG